rnacentral:rRNA from 1 species
GACGAACGCUGGCGGCGUGCUUAACACAUGCAAGUCGAACGGAAAGGCCUGCUUUCCCUGUGGAUUUCGGGUACUCGGGUUGCGAACGGGUGGGUAAAACGUGAGUGAUUUGCCCCCCACCUUGGGAAUAGCCUGGGAAACCGGGGCUAAUUUCCGAUAGGGCUGCAGGGUGGGGGCUGGGGGGGGAAAAGGUUUUCUAGUGGGUGGGGAUGAGCUCGCGGCCUAUCAGCUUGUUGGUGGGGUAAUGGCCUACCAAGGCGGCGACGGGUAGCCGGCCUGAGAGGGUGGACGGCCACAUUGGGACUGAGAUACGGCCCAGACUCCUACGGGAGGCAGCAGUGGGGAAUAUUGCACAAUGGGCGGAAGCCUGAUGCAGCGACGCCGCGUGGGGGAUGACGGCCUUCGGGUUGUAAACUCCUUUCGACCGCGAGGAAGCCACCUGGUUGGAAGGGUGGUGACGGUAGUGGUAGAAGAAGCACCGGCUAACUACGUG